rnacentral:rRNA from 1 species
GACGAACGCUGGCGGCGUGCUUAACACAUGCAAGUCGAACGAUGACGACCGAGCUUGCUCGGUCUGAUUAGUGGCGAACGGGUGAGUAACACGUGAGCAACCUGCCCUUCACUCUGGGAUAACCUCGGGAAAUCGGGGCUAAUACCGGAUAUGAGCUCCUGUCGCAUGGCGGGUGUUGGAAAGUUUUUCGGUGAAGGAUGGGCUCGCGGCCUAUCAGUUUGUUGGUGAGGUAGUGGCUCACCAAGGCGAUGACGGGUAGCCGGCCUGAGAGGGCGACCGGCCACACUGGGACUGAGACACGGCCCAGACUCCUACGGGAGGCAGCAGUGGGGAAUAUUCCACAAUGGGCGAAAGCCUGAUGCAGCGACGCCGCGUGAGGGAUGACGGCCUUCGGGUUGUAAACCUCUUUCAGCAGGGAAGAAGCGAAAGUGACGGUACCUGCAGAAGAAGCGCCGGCUAACUACGUG